CAUGUACUUCCUCCGUCUGGAAAUACUUGUCAUCAAAAUGAAUAAAAAAAGAUGUAUUUUAGUUCUAGAUACAUCCAUUUUUGUCCAUUUUGAUGACAAGUAUUUUCGGACGGAGGGAGUACUUA
rnacentral:pre_miRNA from 1 species